GAUGAACGCUGGCGGCGUGCCUAAUACAUGCAAGUCGAGCGAACAGACGAGGAGCUUGCUCCUCUGACGUUAGCGGCGGACGGGUGAGUAACACGUGGAUAACCUACCUAUAAGACUGGGAUAACUUCGGGAAACCGGAGCUAAUACCGGAUAAUAUAUUGAACCGCAUGGUUCAAUAGUGAAAGACGGUUUUGCUGUCACUUAUAGAUGGAUCCGCGCCGCAUUAGCUAGUUGGUAAGGUAACGGCUUACCAAGGCAACGAUGCGUAGCCGACCUGAGAGGGUGAUCGGCCACACUGGAACUGAGACACGGUCCAGACUCCUACGGGAGGCAGCAGUAGGGAAUCUUCGGCAAUGGGCGAAAGCUUGAUGGAGCAACGCCGCGUGAGUGAUGAAGGUCUUCGGGUCGUAAAACUCUGUUAUUAGGGAAGAACAAAUGUGUAAGUAACUAUGCACGUCUUGACGGUACCUAAUCAGAAAGCCACGGCUAACUACGUG
rnacentral:rRNA from 1 species